CCGCCGAGGCCCUCCCCUUUGUGCCUCGAGGGGAGGGCCGCAAGGGGCCGCGAGAGCCCUUCUCUGCCCUUGGGCACCAUUUUUCAGGCUCCGCCACCUCUCAGCAUGGAGGCGUCACUCCCCCAUCAUAAGGACUAGUGCCUUGACUCGAUCUUGCUGGCAUCUCCUUCAGGAACUUGUCUUAUCCUGCUUGAAAGCCAGGCUGCCCACCAGGUCGGUGGCGUCAUCUUGCCGCAGUUACAGAUGGCUAAACAUCGAAACUGCAACCAGAAACAUAAACAAGGACGCAAGCAACGCAAACUGAAGAACUGUAACACAGAACAAAUAAGAGCAUAUUGAACCGUGGCAACCAGACCUCGUGGAAGCCAAUUGCAAAACACGUCUCGAUCAACAAUUAAAAUCCCGGGAGAGUGAAAAGGCCAAGGCACCAGGCAGCCCCCUUGGGAGUUGAUGCCAUCGAUGGGGCCGCCCCAAAAGGCCCUUCGUCACCCCUUCCUUGCUUCCUUCCUUCAAAGGUGCCUCUUGGAGCAGGACCUUGGUUGAAGCGCUCGGGGUCCGGGCGGGAAUGCAAGGGAGGAGGCGUUCGUAGCGGGCCCAGACGUUUAAUGGUGGCAGCAGCUUCACAGCCCAAAUAACAGGUAGACUUCAGACUUUGCUUUGGCCGGCUUUCAUGACCUCCUCCCCCUCCCCUCCCCUCCCCUCCCUCGUCAUGGACUGCUACUGGUGUGGUUGGCCGGGAAACGCUUUCUAGCAGAGAUUUCGUUCUGUGAUGUGUCCUCGUCGCUUGCGUUGGGAGCUUCCACAAGAUUGAUAAAGCAAUUAAGUGGAUGACUGUAAUUAGGGACUGCAUAUUGUUACUGUUCGCUGAAGGCAGGCGAGGGGGGUGCUUGCCAAAUUUGCAGAGGCAGCGGGUUCCGGAGACAAUGUGCCACUGCUCUACGGCCCAGUGCCAGCCCCCCAGCGGCUGGGCCCGGAUCUCGCAGGCGCUUACGGGAGAGGCAGCCAGGCACCCAGUGGUGGCACGAGGGGGGGUGCUCAGGGGGGGGGUCCCUUAGCCCUGUUGCUCCCCACACCCCAGUCCAUGGCUUCAGUGGGUCCCAGAAAUGGCCCGUUCGCCCUGCUUACCUGCCGAGCAUCCAACAGAGGCGGGAGCCGGCACUGUAAUGAUUAUUGCUUUGCAUGUCAGUCCUGUGUUUUCUCUCUCUUGAGGACCCCAGGGAAGCUCACGUUCCAAUAUUCUGGCCCAAAGUGGUUUAAUGCAUAUGAGAGGCGGUAUUUCAGCUGAGUUCACUGGCCAUGUUUUUGAAUUUCCCAUGUUUGUAACUCAGAUGGAAGUUGUACAGUUGUUUGCAGUGCAAAAGCGGUUUUUUAAAAACAAUGUUCAGAAGGAUUGCCUGCACAGAAGAAAGGCUGCUUUGCAAGAAUGAGCUGCAUUAGCUUGUUCUUCAGCUUACAGGACUUGAGGCGGUGUAAUGCUCUUUAAAUUUUUCUAAUUCAAACUAAAAUGCCUUUAUUCAGUACUUGUAAUUAUGGAUGUCGAGUAAGGCCUCCAAGCUGUGAAAGGAGUGGAAGGGGAGAAAGAGGCACUCCAUUUUUACUUAAAAAAAUAUGCAAACUACUGCGAAGAAGGUGGAUUUGCUGAGAGGCGCCCCAUCUGUGGACGUGCGAGACUGACAAACUGUGAGUCCUCAAAGAUGAGCUGAGUGGCGAGAGGCGGCCCGAGCGUGUUGCAGCACGCAGCCGACCAGAGCCGGCUGGAGCGGGCAGUCCUCUCCUGCCCGCUGAGUAAACAAGGCCGCUCGAGCGAGGGCUGCCGUUUGCAGGGGCCGCUCAUGAAGCGGCACUCCAACGUUUGGCUGGGGGGCGCACUGGUUGCCCAGCCUGCGAAGCCGGGGGGUUGCCUGGGGAUACGAGCGAGAAGAGUUCCUUGCCCUAAUCCACCCCUCCCUGCCGCGCAGCGCCUGGCACCAUGCUGGCUGGCCACGGAGCACCCUCCCUCCGGCCGGCCGUUGCGGGGCUGCUGCGCCUCUGCUAGCCGGCCCCACAGCCCAGGGGGCUGGCAGGCUGAGCAGGCCUUGCGCAGCCCUGGGGGUGGGCACAGCUGGUUGUGGGGGAAGGACACGGGUGUGUUUGCACGGGCAAAGCCUUGGCAGGUGCAUGGGCUGCCUUUAUGCCCUCCGACACAACUUUCCUCAGCCUAGUGUCCCCCAGAGGGGUUGGACUACAUCUCCCAGCAUCCCCGGGCCAGCAUGAUGGGUGAGGGCACCAGAGUUCCUGAGAAUGACAGCAGAACCCACACUGGCUGUGGGCUGGCAACGAAAGAGUGCCGGGGUCGUACCAGCCCCAGGGCCUCCCCCUAAGCCCGCUCUUUGCCUGGCCAGGUGACGCGUGCGUGCGUGCGUGGGGGCGUGCAUCCAGCUCCCCAUUUUGCACACUUGCAUUACACAAACGCUGCCUGUGCUCUGAGCUGAGGUUGCUUUUCUAGACCAGCAUGCAACAAAAGAGGGUGAAUGACGUUUUGACUCUGGGUAGGUAGGAAAAAAUGGUUUGCCUGUGCUUGGCCAAGUUAAAUUUUCAUUAGUCUUAAAACCAUUGAAAAUAAAUGCUAUCAGAAAUGGACACAGCCUGGGUUCAUAAGAAAAAAAUCUUUAAUUUUUCACUUUAUGGAAAUACAUAUUUCACUCUCAUUUCCAUGAUACAAAAAUGUUAAAUUUCAACCCAAGUUUAUGAAAUCUACCAAAGCAGUUUUUUUAAAUACCAAGGGAAGGCUGGUGAAUGUCACAGGAUUCUGCUUGUCUUUUUAAAUACUGGACACAAACCACGAGCUGAGGGGAAACUGCAAGGGAAGGGACACCCCCUCCCAUUGCUCAACACCCUUCCCAGACAUGAUGUGGGAUCUGAGGGAGGCGUCUUCCUUUGUCCUUUCCUUUAACACAAGACGCGGAGGAUGGGCUGAAGCGGGUUUUAGUGGUGGGGGACACGCCGGCAGGGGCUUUCCUACUGCGGACGGCAAGAGACGAGUGGCCGAAAGCAUGAACAGCCGGAUGCAGCCGACCUGCGGAGGACGCUGUGCUGUCCGCAAAGACCGGCCGAGCCAGCUCGAAACGCGCGAGCUCAUCCUGCUCGGCUCUGCGGGCCACACGCCGCGGAGAGGCGGUCGGAGCCCAACGGCCUUUUGAUCUAGCGUUUACGACAGCAAAGGAGGUUCACGUAGGCAACGAGACGGACAUGCACGCACGCACAGAAAGGGCGAGGCUUGUUCAGCGGACAGUUUAAAGAAUUAAACUGCUCUUCCAGAA